GAUGAACGCUGGCGGCGUGCCUAAUACAUGCAAGUCGAGCGAACGGACGAGAAGCUUGCUUCUCUGAUGUUAGCGGCGGACGGGUGAGUAACACGUGGAUAACCUACCUAUAAGGCUGGGAUAACUUCGGGAAACCGUAGCUAAUACCGGAUAAUAUUUUGAACCGCAUGGUCAAAAGUGAAAGACGGUCUUGCUGUCACUUAUAGAUGGAUCCGCGCUGCAUUAGCUAGUUGGUAAGGUAACGGCUUACCAAGGCAACGAUGCAUAGCCGACCUGAGAGGGUGAUCGGCCACACUGGAACUGAGACACGGUCCAGACUCCUACGGGAGGCAGCAGUAGGGAAUCUUCCGCAAUGGGCGAAAGCCUGACGGAGCAACGCCGCGUGAGUGAUGAAGGUCUUCGGAUCGUAAAACUCUGUUAUUAGGGAAGAACAUAUGCGUAAGUAACUGUGCACAUCUUGACGGUACCUAAUCAGAAAGCCACGGCUAACUACGUG
rnacentral:rRNA from 1 species